GGAGGGGUCGGAUAGUGGUUUAUUCCAGCGGUCUUGAAAACCGCCACACCGCAAGGUGUCGUGAGUUCGAAUCUCACCCCCUCCG
rnacentral:tRNA from 3 species